CUCCUUAGCGUCCCAGAGGGCUUGUCUGCUACAGGGGCUCCCAGCGGCCUCCCGCACCGAAGGGACCCUGGGCGUCUGAGGCCCUGAUCCGGGCGGGCCUUCAGGAUGUUAGCAGUCCCUGUCCGGUUGAAGGCCUGCGGGGCGGGGGCGGGGUGGCGCCCAGGACGACUCCCCGGGCUCAGCUUGGCUGCCUGCCUCCUUCUCCUUCAGCUGGACUCAGGGUUGGGGUCACUGGAGGAGGAGGUGGCUUCCUGCCCCAUUGUUCUGGACUGCAGUGUUUCUUGGGAAUACUUACUGUAUGUGGAUUUUCAGUAACCAACUUGGAAAGCUGUAUUUGUUCCCAUGAUUCAGCAAACAAUGAGUACCUACUGUGUGUAGAAGCAGCAGGACAGCCUGUCAUCACUGGGAAAGAGGCCAGAAGAGCCGUUUGGCCAGGGUCUCCAAUUUAGGCUUUCAACAUUAUCUCUAAAGAAGGUUAUACAUUAUGUCGGCUCCACUGGCUGAUGGGAUCAAAGACCCUCCUUGUAUAUCCUUAAACCUGUACUCUAUUACCAGGCCACUGUGCCUGUGGAGCACUGUAAGUUCCUACCUUUUAAUAAAUUUUAUAAUUAUCUUGUGAGCA
ensembl:lncRNA ZNF436-AS1 ZNF436 antisense RNA 1